CAGAGGGUGUUGUUUAGCCGGAGUGGGAAGAUUAGGCACUUAAAUUCCGUCACAGAAGUGCAAGCCAAAAUUCGAAGACUUGCCAAAAUCCUCAGAGACAGACAAGGGUAAACAUUGGCAGCGUUUUUACAAGAUGGAGAAAUUUGAUGAAAUGUUUGUGUUUCAAUCGAUUAGACGAACUCGCUGAGUUUCUUCUCGACGGGGUGACACUAUAGUAGCGCAGAGACUGCCUAGCGUACCUUUAAUGCACGCUGGAGACGCAGUGACCUCCCCAGGACAUGACGAGCAAAAUCCAUCAGCUGGCCCGUG